ACAUCGGUAGCACAGUGGUUAGUGCAGUCUGCCGGAAACACAAAGACGCGGGUUCAAUUCCCGUCCGAUGUC
rfam:Nippostrongylus brasiliensis genome assembly, scaffold: NBR_scaffold0005451